rnacentral:misc_RNA from 1 species
CAUAUCGUUGAUACUGGACAUUUUUAAAUAAAUGAAAAAAGUACCUAUAAUUUAAACUGAUUAUGUAAAUACUAGUAACAAGGACCGCCAUAUUGCAGAUAGACAUUAAGCAAAUCUUAUCUUUCUGUAACGCACAGUGACUUCUAUCAGCUUUUAACGUCAUAUAAAUUAUUUUCAAUCUUCUGUUCUUAUUGAUUGUAAUGGCGAUUGAUAAAUACUUAAUUACUUGGUGUUGAUAUUUAUAAGCAGUUGUUGAAAAUAAAUUUUAAUUAAUGAU